rnacentral:rRNA from 1 species
UACAGAGGGUGCGAGCGUUAAUCGGAAUUACUGGGCGUAAAGCGCACGUAGGCGGCUUGGUAUGUCGGGUGUUAAAUCCCCGGGCUCAACCUGGGAACUGCAUCCGAAACUGCCUUGCUAGAGUAUGGGAGAGGGAAGUGGAAUUUCCGGUGUAGCGGUGAAAUGCGUAGAUAUCGGAAGGAACAUCAGUGGCGAAGGCGACUUCCUGGACCAAUACUGACGCUCAGGUGCGAAAGCGUGGGGAGCAAACAGG